rnacentral:rRNA from 1 species
GACGAACGCUGGCGGCGUGCUUAACACAUGCAAGUCGAACGGUGACGAGGAGCUUGCUCCUCUGAUCAGUGGCGAACGGGUGAGUAACACGUGAGCAACCUGCCCAGACUCUGGGAUAACAGUUGGAAACAGCUGCUAAUACCGGAUACGAGACGGAGAGGCAUCUCUAACCGUCUGGAAAGUUUUUCGGUCUGGGAUGGACUCGCGGCCUAUCAGCUAGUUGGUGAGGUAAUGGCUCACCAAGGCGACGACGGGUAGCCGGCCUGAGAGGGCGACCGGCCACACUGGGACUGAGACACGGCCCAGACUCCUACGGGAGGCAGCAGUGGGGAAUAUUGCACAAUGGGCGAAAGCCUGAUGCAGCGACGCCGCGUGAGGGAUGAAGGCCUCGGUUGUAAACCUCUUCAGCAGGGAAGAAGCGAAAGUGACGGUACCUGCAGAAGAAGCACCGGCUAACUACGUGCCAGCAGCCGCGGUAA